UACUGAGUUUUAAAAAAAAUUAAAAAAGAUAGCCGUUGGGCCCGCCAGGACCGACUCAGGCCCGCCAGGACCGGUCCAGGCCCGCCCGCCGGUCCCGGGCCUGGCGGUCCCGGGCCUAACGGUUCGAGGUGUGAGACCGGCCCGUCACGGGCUUUUGGGAACAUCAGGACCGGCCCGCAGGACCGGUAGGCCCGCCAGGACCGCGGUCCCAAUCCGGUCCCGGGCCUGAACCGGGACACCAUACAGCCUUAAUCGGAACAAACCAAAUUUUAAAAAAAAAAUGAUUGUAGUUAGAGAAUGACAAAAUGUAGCAACGUACAUGUCCUCAUCAUGAAUAGCAUUGUUCAAAAAGAAGUCCAUACCUAAGUCUAAGCAUUUACUCCCUCUGUUUAAUCAACGAUACAUCUCUAAAUUUAGAAAUAAUUCAACUUUAAACUCUUCAUUUAUCAUUUUUGUCCUUAGUGAAAAGUUUUUAUAGCCACACAAAUGGUAUGGCCCCAUAAAUUUUUUACCCCUUAAUCUUUUAAGACCACAAGUUUUAAAAGUCUUCUUCUUUUUUCUUAAAUUUUGUAUCGAACAAACUAACUCAAACAAUAUGAAACGGAGGGAAUAUCACUUUGAUAUAAUAUUGACCCCAUUUAUUGGCAUUUUCUACUAUCAUUCUAAUUCUAAUUCCUUUGUAUGGUCCAUGCGGGGUGUGGUAUCUUACAAAAUCUGUGUGCCUCACUUGAAAACAGCCUUACUUAACCCCACCUUCAUCGUGGGAAUGGACUUUGUUUAAGAAUCUCAUGAUAUUCCUGUGUUGGCGAAGGACACAUAUGCUUAGAGCUUUAAUUUAUUCGCCAAUUAUUUUUAAAUACCCAAGAUCACAUUGCCUUUCUUUGUUUUCAAUGUUAAACAUCUUGAGAUUCCAAAUCUAUUUUUUGAUAAAUAGAUGUUCUUCUUCUAAUUGAAUAUAUUCAAAAACCAUGUGUAAAAUAACCCCUAAAAAUGAAAUUUAAUUUUAAAACAAAAUAUUGGCGUUUAAAUUAGCGAGAGGAUAUAAAAUUACACUUAAAUAGCAAUAUCACCAUUAUUUAAUAUUAUACUACCUGUUAUCGCAAGAAUGAAAGGAAAUUAAAACUGCUUUUGUUUCAUUGUUCUCUGAAGAAAAGUUAGUGCAAGUUUCAGUCCUAGACAUAUAGAUGAAAGAAAGUCAAACAUAAGAAUUUGGUGAAAGUGAAUAAUAUCCAUUUCUUGGAGAAUUAUUAGAGAGGAGGAGGUCCCUUAUAAUCCUGUUGACGUUUAGCUCGUUUCUCUCACUAGAUUUGUCAAUUACUAGAAGGCCAUGGAAGUCAAUAGAGAAAGCAUGUUUCGAGGCCAACUUAUAUUAACUAGUGAUUCAUGUAAAAGUGUUACGAGAAAUGAGGAAACAACAACAACAACAACUACCCAGUAUACUUCCACCAGGUGGGGUCUGGGGAAGGUAAUAU
rnacentral:lncRNA from 1 species